rnacentral:lncRNA from 1 species
UUGGCUUUGUUUUACUCAAUUGAGCUGAUGUUGCUUUAUUCUUAACAGAGCCUGGGGUCCACGGACGAAGAAGACCCAGAAAUACAUUCUUCCUGUGUCAGUGACACCGAACAGGAGGAGCAGGCUGAAGAGCCCUCGGCAAGAGUCCGCCAGCCAGGCUCACCUUUAGGUGUCACGGGUCACCAGGUACAUUUUUCUCUUUUGAUAGAGAAAAAUUAACACCAGUUCCCGAUGUUUCACAUGGACCCUGUCUCCUCUUCCAACAAACAGAGCCCAAAGUGUCCUGCAUUGGUCGGAGAAGUGGACACGUGUCCGGUGGACAGCCUCUGUUCCUCCACAUCCAGUAGUGAUGUCAAACAAGCUAGCCUGGGGUCCACAGAUGAAGAAGACCCAGAGAUAUAUUCGUCCUGUGUCAGUGACACCCAGGUCACCAGGUACAUUUUUAAUAGAUUGAGCUGAUUUUGCUUUGCCUUUAACUAACAGAGCCUGGAGGAGAAGGAUGAGGAAGACUCGCUUUCUUCACAUCUGGCGGCUGUUUUGGCUGUGACAUCACAGCCUAGUGCUCCAAAUAAUAGAUUCCUGGAGGCCUUAAACUAUGUGGUCUCCAGAAGCAGAAUAGAAAGUGGGAGAACCCUUACAUCUGAUGAACUGGCCUGUUAUGGGUAAAAAAAAAUUGCACAUCAUCAUCAUCAUCAUCAACAACAACACUUUGCUCUGUUUUUCUUGUGUUUCAGGCUCCCCAACCUGUCCCAGACCUGUUAUAUGAACUCUGUUCUCCAGAGCCUCCUGACCCCCAUGCCUUUUGUGAAGGAGCUCAACAAACAGACUCAACAGUGGCUUUCGCACCCAAAAGCUCUGCUUUUCAAGUACAGCACAAGCUCACGUGCCCCCAUUAUUCUAUGGCAUUAAUGCAAUGAAUGAAAAACAUCUGCUUUCUCCUUUCUCCAGGUUGCUCAGUGACAUCAACAAUGGCUUCGUGACUAAAAACAGAAUGCAAAAGAAGUCCACCCUCUUUAAAUUCCUGCGCACCAUUGCAUUGCAUCAUCCAGAAUUCAGAAAUGAUGCCCAACAAGUAAUCAUUCUUUUAUUUUCAAGAGCAUCAUCCUGAUCUUUUCUGGACUAGACACUUUGGUCUGUCUGCAGGAUGCCCACGAAUUUUUGAACACCGUCCUGGAACAGCUGAGCUCCAUCUCUACAGAGCUCAGGUCAAUGGCAACUGACAAAGAGCAGAACUACACCUGCCCUGUGGAGGCUCACAUCAGCUUCCAGAUGUUGAGCACCAUGCUGUGCCACAGGUGGGAAUAUACCUGGAAACCUUCUGCUCCUGCAUAGGUGUUGUACUUGUUUAGUUGAAUCCUUAGUUAUUUGAAUCCUGUCUUGAAUUCACAGUUGUGGCCAUAAAUCUGAAAAUAUGGAGGAGUGUUUGAACCUG